CGGACGGGUGAGUAACGCGUGGGUAACCUACCCUGUACACACGGAUAACAUACCGAAAGGUAUGCUAAUACAGGAUAAUAUAUUUGAGAGGCAUCUCUUGAAUAUCAAAGGUGAGCCAGUACAGGAUGGACCCGCGUCUGAUUAGCUAGUUGGUAAGGUAACGGCUUACCAAGGCGACGAUCAGUAGCCGACCUGAGAGGGUGAUCGGCCAUAUUGGAACUGAGACACGGUCCAA
rnacentral:rRNA from 1 species